AAGCACUUUGAGUGGCACGUCAACUCAUCUUCGGGGUAGAGCACUGUUCGGCUAGGGUCAUCCGACUUACCAACCCGAUGCAAACUACGAAUACCGAAGAAUGUUAUCACGGGAGACACACGGCGGGUGCUACGUCCGUCGUGAAGAGGGAAACAACCCAGACCGCCAGCUAAGGUCCCAAAGUCAUGGUUAAGUGGGAAACGAUGUGGGAAGGCACAGACAGCCAGGAU
rnacentral:rRNA from 1 species